CCUACGGGAGGCAGCAGUGGGGAAUAUUGCACAAUGGGGGAAACCCUGAUGCAGCGACGCCGCGUGAGUGAAGAAGUAAUUCGUUAUGUAAAGCUCUAUCAGCAGGGAAGAAAAUGACGGUACCUGAGUAAGAAUCCCCGGCUAACUACGUGCCAGCAGCCGCGGUAAUACGCAGGGGGCAAGCGUUAUCCGGAUUUACUGGGUGUAAAGGGAGCGUAGACGGCAGUGCAGGUCUGGAGUGAAAGGCGGGGGCUCAACCCCCGGACUGCGCUUGAAACUGUACGGCUGGAGUGCAGGAGAGGUAGGUGGAAUUCCUGGUGUAGCGGUGAAAUGCGUAGAUAUUA
rnacentral:rRNA from 1 species